CCUACGGGGGGCAGCAGUGGGGAAUAUUGGACAAUGGGGGGAACCCUGAUCCAGCGACGCCGCGUGAGUGAAGAAGUAUUUCGGUAUGUAAAGCUCUAUCAGCAGGGAAGAAAGAAAUGACGGUACCUGACUAAGAAGCCCCGGCUAACUACGUGCCAGCAGCCGCGGUAAUACGUAGGGGGCAAGCGUUAUCCGGAUUUACUGGGUGUAAAGGGAGCGUAGACGGCGAUGCAAGUCUGAAGUGAAAGGCGGGGGCCCAACCCCCGGACUGCUUUGGAAACUGGAUGGCUGGGGGGCAGGAGAGGUAAGUUGAAUUCCGAGGGGAGCGGUGAAAUGCGGAGAUAUUAGGAGGAACACCAGUGGCGAAGGCGGCUUACUGGACUGUAACUGACGUUGAGGCUCGAAAGCGUGGGGAGCAAACAGGAUUAGAUACCCGGGUAGUC
rnacentral:rRNA from 1 species